UCCGAGUUGUCCCCGGCAGUCUUCUAUGAGUCCCCGACUUAACUCGCUGGUAACAUAGAACAAGGGUUGCGCUCGUUGCGGGACUUAACCCAACAUCUCACGACACGAGCUGACGACAGCCAUGCACCACCUGUUAUGGGCCCUUUCGGACACCACAUCUCUGUGGCUUUUCCCAUAAUGUCAAACCCAGGUAAGGUUCUUCGGGUCGCAUCGAAUUAAGCCGCAUGCUCCGCCGCUUGUGCGGGGACCCGUCAAUUCCUUUGAGUUUUAGCCUUGCGGCCGUACUCCCCAGGCGGGGCACUUAAUGCGUUAGCUUCGGCACGGCAACCGUUGGUCGGGUCGCCACACCUAGUGCCCAACGUUUACAGCGUGGACUAC
rnacentral:misc_RNA from 1 species